CCUCGCGGCAAGUGGUGCUCUUUCAAGCGUCGACAAGGACCUGUCAGCUCCGCACGGGAUUGUUGAGAGAAGCAUGCGGUGCACGUGGACCCAGGAUCAACUGACAGAUGGCAGGAAGCAUCAUCUUCGAAGGCUCUCGCUAUAAUGCCGGCUGUUAUUCAUGACAGAUUAACUUCAACAAUCGCCAGCUUCGGUGGCUAAGUGGGUUAAAUCACUGUUGUGUGCUGGCCUUUCCGUUCCUCACCCUGAGAGUGUGGGUUCGAAUCACGUAUGGACUCAACCCCCUGAAAGAUUCAUGACAGAAGUAUCUGCCACCUCGUCAGACCAACAAUCAGCCAUCUCAGACGACGUCAUCAACUACACACUCAGUCACAACGUCAUGACGGACAAUGUUCAAAUUCUAUCAAGCAACCUCCAUCACGUCAACAAGCGAAAACCAAGACAAGCAUUUCAAACCCUCUCUCAAUCAACAGAGAUCAAAGACACUCAUCUCAUCUGCCUACAAUGAUUUGAUAAAACAACAGAACACUCCAGCUAUCAUCUCUAAUUAAUCCUAUCAGCUCUGUAUAUUUUGUAUCCUGUCUUAUACAGCUGGCUUCUUUUUGUUGUCACGAGAUCAAUCAAUCAUUAUCCUUUGUUGUUAAUCCCUUCUGUGCACGCCUUUAAUCCGUAUUUCAUGUUGUUAGUCUGUACCGCGUAUCUUCAAGUUUGCUUGACAACCGUAUAAAGCUCUAUACCAAUCCAUAGUAGAAUGAAAAGUUGUCAUCCAUUAAAUAUCUAGCCUUGAGUAA